rnacentral:rRNA from 1 species
UAAUUGAAGAGUUUGAUCAUGGCUCAGAUUGAACGCUGGCGGCAGGCCUAACACAUGCAAGUCGAGCGGCAGCGGGAAGUAGCUUGCUACUUUGCCGGCGAGCGGCGGACGGGUGAGUAAUGUCUGGGGAUCUGCCCGAUGGAGGGGGAUAACUACUGGAAACGGUAGCUAAUACCGCAUAAUCUCGCAAGAGCAAAGUGGGGGACCUUCGGGCCUCACACCAUCGGAUGAACCCAGAUGGGAUUAGCUAGUAGGUGGGGUAACGGCUCACCUAGGCGACGAUCCCUAGCUGGUCUGAGAGGAUGACCAGCCACACUGGAACUGAGACACGGUCCAGACUCCUACGGGAGGCAGCAGUGGGGAAUAUUGCACAAUGGGCGCAAGCCUGAUGCAGCCAUGCCGCGUGUAUGAAGAAGGCCUUCGGGUUGUAAAGUACUUUCAGCGGGGAGGAAGGCGAUGCGGUUAAUAACCGCGUCGAUUGACGUUACCCGCAGAAGAAGCACCGGCUAACUCCGUGCCAGCAGCCGCGGUAAUACGGAGGGUGCAAGCGUUAAUCGGAAUUACUGGGCGUAAAGCGCACGCAGGCGGUCUGUUAAGUCAGAUGUGAAAUCCCCGGGCUCAACCUGGGAACUGCAUUUGAAACUGGCAGGCUAGAGUCUCGUAGAGGGGGGUAGAAUUCCAGGUGUAGCGGUGAAAUGCGUAGAGAUCUGGAGGAAUACCGGUGGCGAAGGCGGCCCCCUGGACGAAGACUGACGCUCAGGUGCGAAAGCGUGGGGAGCAAACAGGAUUAGAUACCCUGGUAGUCCACGCCGUAAACGAUGUCGACUUGGAGGUUGUGCCCUUGAGGCGUGGCUUCCGGAGCUAACGCGUUAAGUCGACCGCCUGGGGAGUACGGCCGCAAGGUUAAAACUCAAAUGAAUUGACGGGGGCCCGCACAAGCGGUGGAGCAUGUGGUUUAAUUCGAUGCAACGCGAAGAACCUUACCUGGCCUUGACAUCCACGGAAUUCGGCAGAGAUGCCUUAGUGCCUUCGGGAACCGUGAGACAGGUGCUGCAUGGCUGUCGUCAGCUCGUGUUGUGAAAUGUUGGGUUAAGUCCCGCAACGAGCGCAACCCUUAUCCUUUGUUGCCAGCG